UAAGACAUGAGGCAGGAAAGAUUGGAAGCCCAUAAAAAUGAUAAUCUCAGGCUUCAGUGUAACUUGGUGGAAGGGUUUUCUCCUGUCCUUUCAUUAAGGAUGGAUUUCAUGAUCUUCCUUAAAUAACAACAAGCCUUCUCACGAGGAAUCUCCCACCUGAAAACUGAUUGCACCGUCAUUAGGAAAUAUGAGGCCAAGAAGCCAGAAGAAAAUAGCUGGAGCACAGUCUGGCGUAGUACAGCAUCCUCCUCUCCAGUCCUAAAUUUGAUGAGUCUGGCUAUUGCCUGGGAGAAGGAGGAAAAGGAAGAAAAAACAACUGGUCAACCAUUUCCAUGUGAAUCACAACCAAGAUGGACAAGAGGAGGAGAAGGAAAGAGUUGGCUGGCUUGGUGAGGGUGGAUCGUUUCAGGAAAUAAUUAUCCCAGAUGCCAGAAUAGGAGAAAAUUAAAAGAGUAAACUACAA